AUGACAGCGAGGGAGUGGGUCCAGUGGGAGGAGGAGAUCUUGCUGGAGGACGAUGAUGAGCACCACAAGGAGUGCUUCUACCUCCGCUGCGCCCCACCCCAGGGCGGCGGUGUGAGUGAGAGGGAUCUGGCGGUGGUAGGUAAGUAUUGGCCGUUGCCCGCCGGGAACAUAGUGUACUCGGCGGAUGCGCAGUUGCUGCGGUCCCUCGAGGAGGCGAUUAUCUGUGGGUCAGUGUCGGCUAGGGCGGUCACGGUGGCGGCGGAGAUCACCCAGCUCCGGUGGAAGUCCAGGAAGCAGGUCAUGGACUGGCUCGACUCGCUCAUCUCAGAUCCUCCGUAUGGAGCCUUCGGAUUGGCUUCUCCGGGUGACCAUGACGAUGGUGGUAGCCCUGCAUCUAGCCAGAAGGCGGCCGCCGCAGCACCCGCAGAACUUGCUGCGCCAAGCCCAGUACUGCAAACUCCGGGGAAAGGUGACCAUGAAUCUGCAAAAUCUGCUCCUCCACGGAAGAGAUCCUUCGCCCUGCUGAGUGAUUCUUCCGAGGAAAACAGACUGCAGGUUAGAAAGAACAAGGGCCCUGAUGAACCUGCAAAACCAGUUGCAGAGAAGCUAAGCCUGCAGCAACGCGGUGAGGAGGAGGGAGAUAGAAUCUCCUGUGGUGGCAGCUCAAAUGAUGCCAAGAGGUACCGAGUUGGUCUUACAAAUUUUAUCAGGGUGAGCCUGAAGUGGGUUGAACGUAAGGCUAGAAGCAUACUGGGGUUUUCAGACGGCAGCAGCCAGGAAGGCAUCAAUGACUCUGCCUCCAGUGGAGGGGCUGGCCCGGUGAAUUCAGUGUCUCUGGAAGAGACAUGCACAGCCGAUGAAGAGGCUCCUGUUCCUAUCCCCCCUAUCGACGAACAGCAACUGGUCGACCUGACCAUGUAUGACUAA
rnacentral:rRNA from 1 species